GCGUUGGUAGUCCAGUAGUAGAAUUCUCACUUUCCAUGUGGGACAUUUAGGUUCGAUUCCUAGCCAAUGUA
rnacentral:tRNA from 1 species